AUUUUAACACAUGAUUAUGCUCAUACGCCGGUUAACGAAGGCAGCCAUCUAUCAUCCUGCCAGGAAAAGCAAAAAGUUUAAGGAAAGAAGCAGCACCAUGGUUCUCCACAGGCUAUGCAGACACUGUAUGAGGGACCAGGAGCCAGUUUCUCGAAGACUGAAACUCAGACCGCUGUCAAAAGGAGCACAGAGCUGGGUCUCACUGUCCUACAGAAAGAAGACCUAUUAAGUGUGCAGACUGUGAAUCUUCCAAACAUCAGUCAUGUUAUUGUUUGCACUUUAUAACACCAGUUGAUCCUCAAACUGAUCUUCUUCUGUUAUCAAUGCAAUGCCCAGAGCUCUCACUGAGAAAAACCAAGAAACCUGGUUGUACAGUGAGAGGUCAUUUAUUUAGAUUGUGGAUAUUUGGACAAGUACUUCUCAUACAAAGAACAAUUUAAUGAGUAUUCAGCACAACAAGUAUAAAAAAUUGGCUCAUC